ensembl:lncRNA
AAAUUAAGUUGAAGUAUUUUUCUUAUUUUGCACAGACAAUGUUAACAUUUGGGAAAGCCUUGUUGCAUUCAAGAAUGCAUCCAGUGGGGCAUCACAAUAACAUUAAGCAUGUUGUGUUAAUUCCGCAACAGGAGAUAUGUUAUGUUGCCUAAAUUAGGUUUGAGGAAAAAUAACCCAAAUAUCGACAUCGGUAUCGGCUGAUAUCGGAAUCGAAAAUUUAGAGUUGGACAAUAUCGCAUAUCGGAUAUCGGCAAAAAAGCCAAUAUCGGACAUCCCUAUUAGAUAUCAGCUGCUUUCACACCACCGCGCGGCAACUCGCCGCCUCCAAUGAGGGAAGGGCGGCAGAGGGGAGGCGGUUACGAAAGCAGCUGUUGGACCAGGAAGCAGUGGCCUCCCACGUGAACGCGCACAGAUUUUGCCCUACCGGUCAGGUUUCCCCGUGUUUAAACUUUCGGCGGCAGCAGCAGCCGCUUUUGAAACGCCUGGCCCUUUCGCACCGCUGCGCUGAACCCGGCAGCGAGCCGGUUAUCGGGGCGGUUGCCCGCAGCGGUGUGCAAGCACUGUCAGACAUGCAAUGCGUGGAGUGAAGUCUGCGAAACGAAGUUAAUCACACACUGAACAGGAAUAUGAUUGUCCUAAUUUCCCGUUCGAAGUAGAUCCUAUGAACUGAAAUGCUGCCAAACACUUCGCUCCCUGGUCAAAUAAACACAAACCAUUUCACGACCAUUUUUACGGUCAUAUUUUUUUCGUUGUAGUGCUAGGCAGGUAGCCUAAAUAAAUUGCUUGCAGGCAAAUAUCUUCAAGGCUCUCAAGUCUCAUGCAUUCGGCGUGAGACACACACAAUUCAACCCAAGCACACGCUCUCACGCCACACUUCGUAUUUCUCACGCAGAGAAAUUACCAGGAUAGCGCCCAACCAAUUUGGGCCGCUAUUUAACAGUGGAACAGGUAGGAAUCAAAUGGGUUUCCCGUACGUAGGGUAACCAGACGUCCUCUUUUGCCCAGACAUGCCCUCUUUUUGAGACACUGUGUGGCGGUAUUUCAAAUGUGUGGUGUAAUUGCGAAAUCGUCCGGGAUUUUAUUAAAGCCUCUUACAUGUUCACAUUGAAUUUGCGCUGUGUUUCUCAUGGUCGUUCACAAACUAGUUAGGCUACGCCCUCCUCUACUCAGUUCUGUUUGCUUUGCAUUGGUGGAAGUGAGUAGGGGGAGUGGUUAAGUAGAGCCUUCAGAUUGGACGGUUUGACCUACUUAGGUACCGAUGUACCAUCAUGUUUUGUAUUUAUUUAUUUACCAUUAUUGUUUUAUAGGGACAAACAUUUACACAUUUCUCCUACAGGGGAUUGAUAAAGUUCUAUCUAUUGAACAGAAAGAAACACUUGGUCAUACUUUACACACUUUACCACAGCAUUGGCCUGAAUGCCACAGAUAUAUUUUAAGCAUUGGACUGAAUGCCACAUAUAUAAUUAUGUUUUUACACGUUUGCAACGUUUAAAAGUUCAGGGGAAAGUAUAUGCCUCUGGUGUUGCUUAAGCCAAUAGCCUUUUGAGGAAGUGUUGUUUCUGAAUAUUAGUGUUAAGGGCCAAUAACGCUUACUAUCAUACAUUAGUCACCAUGUCUGUGUACACAUUUGUAUGCAGUCACAUGUUAAUAUACCCCCCCCCCCCCGCCGACAAAAUCUCCAUCCAUUCACACCGCAAAAAGCUGUGCUGAAUAACAGGUUACGUGGUGCUAUCUGCUAGAUAUGAUUAAGACAAAAUCCAUGUCGGAACUUAUAAUGUGCAGGAUUCCAAAAUGUACAUCUAGCGGGCAACAGGUCUAGCUUUUCCUAAUGUCAUAUCCACUAGUCUAGUGGAUUAGAGUUAAACAUAUGUUUUGAUUUGAAACACGCAAUGACAUCACUGCAAUGUCAUUGCGCGUUUCAAAUCAAAACAAAAAUCAAAUCAUAUGGGUAUCAACCAUGGACAUAUUAAAGAAUGGACAGCGGACUGAAAAAUGGCCGCCCAUAAAUUCUUAAGAAAACUAAUCGUCUUAAGAAUUGAUGGCAUUUAGAAGAACAAUGGCCCAGAAGAACAUCAAGGAGAGAUUUGGUUCCGCAUCAUUGGCGCCUAGCCACUCACUCGUGCAUGACGUGCCGGAUGCAGAAAUAUCCACGAAUCAACGAAGAACGACAACAGCAGAGUUAAUGGAGUAGGAGAGAAGAUGAUACCUAGAAUAAUUACAUUUGCGUUUAAAGACUACUGCGUGCAAGACAGAAAACGCAUUGCAAAAUGCAAAACGUGUGGUGCGAAGAUUUCAGACGGUGAAGCAACAACCUCCAACUUUGUUCGCCACCUGAGGCUGCACAAAGAAAGGUAAGUUGAGGCUAAUUAUGUAUGAUGUAACAAUGAGGGGUAUUCCAUCAAGGUCGCUAACAAAGGCGGCGCUUUGCUGAUUAAGCCCAGCUAGAACUAACGCCAACUUCCACUAUAGACGUCGGAGAACCCGACGCAGUCUAUUCAUUAUAUUGUAAUGACCACGGAAGAGGCAGUGAAUGAAGUAUUGAUUGGACAGCGAUUUAUUAGAUACCACCGCUAAUAAACUGUUGGAACACACAAGACCGGUAACUACAGCAACGCCGUUAACUUGAACAAACCCCGCGAAGCCCAAUCCCCACGAGAGCUCCCCCCGCUACGGCCAUCCGUCCUUUUGGCCGUCAUAUAUAUUAUAUUAUAUAGAUAUUUAUAUAUAAUAUAUUAUAUACUAUUAUAUAUAGAGCUCCGGGAGUUGCAAACGGCAACAAUCACAAACAGUGGCAAAUCAGAAUCAGAAUUCUUUUAAUGGCCAAGUAUUUUCACACAUACAGGAAAUUGACUUGGUGUGGUUGGUGCAUAAGACAUGAGACAUAACAUAACAACAAAAAAACAUAAACAAGAACAAAGGACAAAUGUUUUUUAAGAUAAUAAUAAAUAAUUGUUUAGUAUCAGCUGGAUGGGCUCCGUCUCCUCACAGUCCCCUUGCAGCAGAGAGUCUCCGUACUCCCCGAUGCACCAGCAGGCCACCUGCACCAGGGGUUGCUGGGAGAUGUCUGCGAACAGCGCGCGGUAGAGCUUGUGCACGGUGUAGCAGUGGAGCUGGGAGGCGUUGGUGAUCAGCUGGAUCAGGUUGGGCACUGUCUCGUCGCGGACAUCGGCCCCUGCCUCCGCCUUUUGAUUUGCCUGAAAGAGUUGGAUCGCGGUCUGCACGUAACAGCUGAAAGCCGGUCAGCUGUGUCGGUAAAGGCGACCGCAUUCCUCUCUUCCUAAAUCGCACCAGGGCUCCUGCGCGCUUUCCUCUCUUUCUCCGUCUCACUGUGAGACCAGGGCCUUGGAUAAGUAGGUCUUGUAAGUCCACGGGAGAGGCGAGAAAGUUGGGACAUAAAUCCGAUGGUGUUGAGUCCCUGAUGUUAAGGAUCUCAUCUCUCGUAAAAAUUAUCCGUGACAUCGCCAUAGCAACACAAUAACAAAAAUGGAAAAAAACAAAAAAAGUCUGAGUUUAUCCGUAAUAAACAGAAUUAAAACUAACAGUUUGUGACAAUAAGACAAUAAAACAAAAUAAUCCGGUUUGAUUCGCAAGAAACUAAAUUAAACACUAUUAAAGACUAAAAACAAACACAGAAGUGUGCACCAACACACCGAAGCAGCCAUACGAGGCGCCAUCACCAUAACAACAAAUGACCGUUCUACCUCUCUUACUCAACCAUUCAGGUUCCUUUUUCAGUUCACCAAUUCUCAAAUCAUUAUUUGACUAUGUUGAAACCAAAUCAAAUGUAACUUUGUUCAUUCUUUGUUCAUAUUCAUUUAUUUUUUUUAUUUUUUGCUGACUUUUGUUUGAACAGGUCUUCUAGUUUUGCUGAAGCCUUAAAAAUGUAUUAAGAGUUUUUCAAUGCAGAUUAAACAUUGAGAUUCAAUAUUUAAAUAAAACAAUGUGUUGAAAGGAAAAUUGUGGCAUACUGUAACUGGCAUAUAUUCAAGCAGUCCUUUCAGACAUCCAUACAUAGCUCAUAUGCCGCACUAGUCAGGCGUGGCUUUACCAACUUUAGGGUCACAGUGGUGCCUUCCGUAGCAAUUCAAACCCAGCGUCCACUCUCACUUCUCCUCAGAGACAACAUAGGAUUUCGGCGCAUGCGCAUAUCAUAACACAUUUGAAGACAGAAACAUUGAACAUAUUAUAACUGUAUUGAUAAGAAAUUACACUGUACAUUAUGAGUGAUAUGUUGAAAUUAUGAUCAAUAGCCUAUGACAUUAGGUAAAAUGUCACUUGGACUCGACUUGGCUUUGGUGUGACUUGGACUUGACUUGCCUUUGCCUGUCUUGACUUGGGACUCGACUCAGACUUGACUGCUAAGACUUGGGACUUACUUGGGACUUGCCAAACAGUGACUUUGUCCCAUCUCUGCUGACGCCCCUCGAAACCUCCCCCAUCCGUCAGCCGUGCCUUCUGAGUACUUUGACUGACGGUGCAGUGGGCUCGAGGCGUUAUUCUCCUGUUUGAAUGGCGACACACAAACCGUGUCAAUCACCACCAACUGCAUUAAUGUUCAGACCUCCAGCCUAGAUACAUUUAUCUGCCUCAAAUACAUACAUACAUUCUACAUAAAACAGGUGAUUGUAUAUGUAAUGAGACUGCGACUGACUCCAUUGAUUGCUAAACCGUAAUGCUUUAAUGAAACGAAUAGUAUACAUCUUCUUCCAGCUACUAUUGUGAUAAUUCAUUAUACAACAGCGCCCCCUUGUGUCCUGGGGGCCUUAUGAUAUCAUUACAGUAUAGUGGUUAAUAACUCCAUGUGAAUCCCAUAUUAAUGAAAGCCCACCCGUUUGAAUGGUGACACACAAACCGUGUCAACCACCAUCAACUGCAUUAAUGUUCAGACCUGUGCAACAAAAAGUAAAAUUAUAAUCCAAAAUAAAAACCAAACAUAACCGAGAGCCCGCUAGCGAGCCCACAGCUAGCUAAUUAGCUUUAGCUCAACAUGUGGUCGGGAGAACUACUUUAAAUAUAAUAGGCAUUCCUGCACAUAAAUGUCUGUUACUUUCCUGUUACAUACAGGUAAUAUUUAUAUUCGAAAUACACUACAUUGGUCGGUACAAAACGAGCCAAAGCCAUUAAACAUAUUAAUAUUGUUGGCCACAUCGCUCACUCGUACUCACCUCCAGCCUAGAUAGAUUUAUCUGCAGAGGUAUGUAUGGCGCGAGAAAAAAGACAAUUGAUGCAGUUGCACCAUUCAGUCACUAGGUGGCAAUAAAACAACACAUCUUCAUUAUAAACAUUUGUUUUGUAGUAAUUCAAACUAAGGGUAUUUCCAACCCUGUAACAUUAGGGAGGAUUUAUCCUCCCUAACAUUGUUGAGAAUAAAGAAAUGUAGAUUGCCCAGACUACUGUAAUGAAUUAAUGCCCUUAAAUAUGACUACUUUAAUGCCUUUGAGUACAUAAUGUUUGUUUCCCUGGGUAAAGGGACAUUGGCUCCCCUUAUCGCCUAUUGACAAUUACUUCAGGGAGGAAGGUCCUCCCUCAGCCUCCGUUGACUCCCAUUAAUUUACCCAAAAGUACUGGCAGCCGGUGAAUAACAUGGGUUUCAAUGGGAGAGAGGAGGAAAGUCCUCUUCUGAGUGGGUGUGACCUUAAGGCGUUUCAUUCGCGCAAAAAUCUAUUCGGGCUGCGCUAUGAACCAAUAAGCAGGAUCCCUGGCUGGUGAGCAGUAUUGCCAGAUUGGGCAGAUUUCCCACCCAAUUGGGCUACUUUUAACCACGUUAGGCUGGAAAAAUUAUCAUUGGGCGGUAAAUUUGCCCAAUCUGGCAACGCUGUCGAUACCAAACCCACUCAGUGCCGUUCAGUCGGACCCGGGGAUUCCAUCGGACGUGUUACGGCAGCGCUACAGGCCCAUUCACACCCUACGGUAAAUACGGAUACGGACCGUUUCGUCCGGUUCCGGAGGUGUUUCGUCCGUAAAUGGGUCCGUCGCCUCUGAGCUUACGAAUCCGGAGUGCUCCGGGAGAACCGGAGCAAUACCACCGGAAAUCGAGGCGGCAGUAUAGAGUCAAAAGUCAGACCAUUCGCGAAAAUAGAAAGAG